UCACCCACAACCUCCUCAUUUUUUGUUUCGGUCUGAAAACAACCGAAAAAGUAAAGAGAAAAAAAAAAAACGUUGAAUCAAAGCCAACGAAAUAAAAAAGGAGAUAAAACCCAACAAAAUCAGCAUCUCUCUGCUCUAAAGAGAAUCGAGAAGAUGAUGAUCUCUUCAGCAACAGCAGCAGCUGCUUCAUCUUCUUCCUCUCUCUGCUCUCGCAAGCUCUCCCUCUUCUCUCCUCCCCAAAAAUCCCUCUCUCCGAGAAGGAGGUUCUGUGUUAAGGCAUCGAGAGUUGAUAAAUUCUCGAAAAGCGAUGUAAUUGUCUCCCCUUCCAUCCUCUCGGCUAAUUUCGCCAAGCUCGGCGAGCAGGUGAAAGCAGUGGAAGUUGCAGGAUGUGACUGGAUUCAUGUUGAUGUGAUGGAUGGGCGUUUUGUGCCAAAUAUCACCAUAGGACCUCUUGUGGUUGAUGCUUUACGUCCAGUUACUGAUCUACCAUUGGAUGUGCAUUUGAUGAUUGUAGAACCUGAGCAGCGAGUUCCAGACUUUAUCAAGGCCGGUGCAGACAUUGUCAGCGUUCACUGUGAGCAGUCUGCAACAAUUCAUCUGCAUCGGACAAUUGAUCAGAUAAAAAGUCUGGGAGCGAAAGCUGGAGUUGUCUUAAAUCCUGGAACUCCAUUGUCAGCUAUAGAAUACGUGCUGGAUGCGGUGGAUUUGGUCUUGAUCAUGUCAGUUAACCCUGGCUUUGGUGGCCAGAGUUUUAUUGAGAGUCAAGUUAAGAAAAUAUCAGACUUGAGAAGAUUAUGCGCUGAAAAGGGGGUGAACCCAUGGAUUGAAGUGGACGGCGGAGUUAGUCCAUCGAAUGCAUAUAAGGUUAUUGAGGCUGGAGCUAAUGCCCUGGUUGCUGGUUCUGCCGUAUUUGGAGCUAAAGAUUAUGCAGAAGCAAUAAAAGGCAUAAAGGCGAGUAGAAAGCCUGAACCAGUUGCAGUAUGAUAGUUGCAAUGAUUCGAUAAGCAUAUACUUGCAGAAAUCUUAUCUUUCAUUCUCCUCCUGUUCCAAUAUAACAAUAUUAAAAAAAAGUCGGGAGAAAGAACAGCAUGUCAAGAUGCACUGAAUCUACCAAGAGAAGGCUGUUAUCGGAGUUGUUUUAUAUGAUUUGUGAAUUGUAUUAUUUGAUCCUGGGACAUCUGAAAACAAUCACAGAGGGGAUUGAGCAAAGUUAAGUGGUGGUUGAUAAAAAAAUAUAUGUUGUUCUUGCUGUUUCUGUAUCACGCACAGGACGUGGAUGUGACAUUCACUAGAGAUUACAAAAGUUUUCAGCA